rnacentral:rRNA from 1 species
UACGAAGGUGGCAAGCGUUGUUCGGAUUUACUGGGCGUACAGGGAGCGUAGGCGGUUGGAUAAGCCCUCCGUGAAAUCUCCAGGCUUAACCUGGAAAGUGCAGAGGGGACUGUUCAGCUAGAGGAUGGGAGAGGAGCGCGGAAUUCCCGGUGUAGCGGUGAAAUGCGUAGAGAUCGGGAGGAAGGCCGGUGGCGAAGGCGGCAUCCUGGACCGGCAUUGACGCUGAGGAGCGAAAGCCAGGGGAGCAAAGCGGG